rnacentral:rRNA from 1 species
UACGUAGGGUGCGAGCGUUUGUCCGGAAUUACUGGGCGUAAAGAGCUCGUAGGUGGUUUGUCGCGUUGUUCGUGAAAACUCACAGCUUAACUGUGGGCGUGCGGGCGAUACGGGCAGACUGGAGUACUGCAGGGGAGACUGGAAUUCCUGGUGUAGCGGUGGAAUGCGCAGAUAUCAGGAGGAACACCGGUGGCGAAGGCGGGUCUCUGGGCAGUAACUGACGCUGAGGAGCGAAAGCGUGGGGGAGCGAACAGG